rnacentral:lncRNA from 1 species
UCUGUGUGCGGGUGUUGGAUUCCCUGGAACUGGAGCUACAGACAGUUGAAACUGCCACGUGGGCGUUGGGAAUUGAACCCAGGUUCUCUGGAAGAGCCAAUGCACGGAACUACGGAGCCAUCUCUCCAGCCCUCCACUUGAAUUUUAACAAAUAUUUGCAAAACAUCUAUUACAUAAUAGGUUUGCAGAAAAGACCAAAUAUGAAGACGAAAUUUUGUUUUAGGCAGGUUCCAUAUAGCACAGGUUGGCCUUGAACUCAUCAUAUAGAGAAGGAUGGAUUUGAACUCGUGUUCUUCCUGUCUGCCACUCCCAAGUGCAGGCACCACAAUGCUCAGGUGGAAAAUGGCAAAUUCACUUAUAAGACGAAGUGGGAACUGGAACUGAGGAGGAGACCUCAUGUGAAUCAGGGAUGUGAAAGAGUAGAAAGCUCAGCACACCACGCACACACGGACAACCGAGGGCAGACCAAAUCAGCAAAGCCUGCUACGCUGGAAAUUCUGAGCAAUCAUUUUAAAGAGUCACUCUGCGAAGAGUUUGUUGGGUAACUGGCGAAGCAAAGAGACAUCCGGGAAGACUCCGGGGAUACGGUUAUUAUACUCAAGCCCUGCCAAGAAACAAUUGUAAGAAAAGGAGCUAUUUUGACUGGGUCAAGAGGAAUAAUUAUGCUGCCUAAAAAUACACCGAGUCUGAGGGAAGAAAAUGAGAAGCUUUAUGAAGAAGGUGAGCAGCACUUCCUCUCUGGCCACCUUUCAGCGCUGUGUGGUUUACUCUAAUAGCAGCCUGUCGUUUCAAGCCAGAUGAUUCAGUGGCCAGGCCACAGCUCACAGAGCAUUUCAUCUGCGGACAUCCGUCCUGCCUGUGAAGAAAUGGGCAUUUAGUCAUGCAAAGGAAAACGAUACCCUCCUGACCAGUGUCCAGCCAGAAGACACUGGUCGUCUGCUUUUACUUGCAAGCAGAUGAAAGGGAGCCGGUGGGGCUGGACCUGGUCAUUAGAGAGCCUGGCUUCUUUCUGAUGGUCCAACAGGACAGGUUGUUUCAACUUUUACACAUCAAGACCUGAAACUGAAGCGUGAGAAUCUACUAUCGUAACUGCCCUCUUCCUAUGCCUCCACUGAACUGCCUUCCCCGCAGGAGUGUAAGGGGAUGGAUGAACUGGUGUUUGGGGCAGGAGAAUCGUGAAUUAUGAGGUCACCACACUGCAUUUUCCUGCUUAAUUGAGAGGAAGUGCAGCAUUCUUUCAGACCUAUUUUCUGACUAAGUCAGCAGACCCCACCUAGAAUCUGACCUCUUCUCUGAACAGAUAACCACAGAGUCAAAUGAUUUCCAGACUCAUAGCCAUGUGCUGCUAGAUGUCUGGACCUGGCUGCUUGGAUCAGAACUUUUUGCCUGUGGCUUCUCUACAAUACCUGGCUCAGUCUCAAGCUCCAGCAGCAGCGCAUGCCUGGACCUUUGCUGUGCACGUACACGGCUCGCCUUCUGCUCAAUUAUUACCUUCACUUUUAGACUCCUGGAUCAGGCCAGUCCUUACAAUGUGGAGACAAUGGAGACAUUGUCAGUUUGAAAGAGCCAGACCCAGAGUUCAUGAUUAAAGAGGAGAGACAGCCCAAGGUUCAGUGAGCAUGCUUACCAAGGACGUAAGGCUUCCUGUAAGCCUUACAUGUCCUCAUUACAUAUGUGCGCUUCAUCAAUUGUAGGUGCCAUUUGGACUCUAAAAGGUGAUCAUCUCAGGACUUACAUGUAGAGCACAUUCCUUAAAAAAGUGUGCUUACUCCCAAGGCAGGAUUAUAUAGUUACCUGUUGCUGUGCCAACAGUACCACGUAAGCCACAAGGACAAUAAGCUCACUGUUCCUCUAAGACCCGAGUGCUUAGAAGCUACAAGAAGGGCAUAAAUUCUAGGAAACACCCAGAAUGCGCAAUUGCAUGCGUCUCCAUGGUCUGUGUUCUGGUUCUAGGUGUUCAAAUGUGUUAGGUGUCUGAGAUAAGAAGGGCAUUUUGGACAAUAAAAAGUUACCAGUAUGGACCAAAAGGAAUGUUCCACUGGGAUCAGAAGGUUUGGUUGGAGGACUUCCCUGGGCACUGAUUGGAUGGCUUCUGAUUUCUCUCUAAAAUGAGGGAAAGUGCUUCUAGAUCCUACUCAGAGCCAGAAAAUAGCUUAGAAGUUACUUCAUUCAACCACUAACCUUCCAGGGACAGGGGGAGCUUUCUAGUUACCAACCCAUACCCUUUCCAGAUGGAUCGUAGUAGGAGAAAGGUUUUUGAGUUUUCAGCAGACACCCUCUCCUCUCUGCACUAUCCAAAUUCUAGCCUUUCACAUGGCAUCACCCAAACUCACUCCUUCAACCCAGGUGACUUUCUGUGUUCUCCUCCUGUAGUGUGUGUCAUAACCCAGGUCCGACAUUCCUCAUCUGAUGUUUUCAGCCUCUUCUCUGCCCGUUCACUCUUUUCCAUUUCUGUCAUAAGCUCUCAUCAUUCGCGACAAAGAGCAGGGCAGAGGAGGCCACAGAGUUCACUGACAAACACCAAGAAUAGGGAUCAUUCUUUCCAAACACAUCUCCUGUCCUGAGCGUUAUGCUCCUAUUAAUGUAGCCCACAUCACAUUUUUACCAUUUGAAGAAUGAUCAGAUCAUAUCAUUGAAUCAUUCUGAUCUUAUGCUUCCCCCCCCCAUAUGGAGAUUAAGCAAUACUUCUCUAAUCCUAUGUCUUUUAAUUGCUGGCUUUUUUUUUUCUUUCUUUCUGAAUGUAGAAUUUUGCACCUUGCCUCUGUUGGAUUUCAUCUUGUUAGUGUUGAAAGAUCCCAUAGGACGAGUUCAAGGCUAAGAGAAUUGAACAAUGACCUUCGAGGAAGAAGAAAGAGUAGUUCCAGAAAAGCAGAUGGCCCUUGUUUAUUUUCCAUUGUUGUGAAAACAACACUGGCCAAAAGCAACUCCGGGAGGGGAGGGUCUAUUUCAGCUUACAGGUUACAGUCCAGGCAGAAAUUCAAGACGGGCUUGACGCAGAAGCCGUGGAGGACUCCAUCACUCACAGUCAGCUACAUUUCUCAUACAGUCUAGGCCCCCCCUGCUAGGGAUGGAUUGCUCAGUGGGCUGGGCUCUCCUAUAUUGAUCAGCAAUCAAUAAAACGCACAACCUAUGCUCACAGGUCGCACUAAGGGCGGUAGAUACUCAACAAAGGCUCCCUUUUCCAACCUAUGUCAGGCUGACAACAAAGAUUAGCCACCACACAGGGUUAGCUAGGAAGCCUAAAUGGAGGGAAUAUUAAGAGGGCAGACUGAACCUUUGUGUUUAGUUUUCCUUCUUUCUAUUGCCAUGUGGUGUUUUGCCUUGUUUUGUUUUGCUUUGUUCUAAGGGACAGAUUUACAAAACUGAGAUUGGCAAAGCUGUGACUGGAAAACUGGGAUCAGCAAAAAUUUUAGAAUUUCGAAGGCUGAUAGGUGAAGAGAACCAGCUCAGCUCAUCUGAGAACGUUAGUCCUUAAGCGGACAGUGGGGAACCAAUACAGAGUCUCACAUGCUCCCCAAAAAGAAGAAUCAGUAGUAUGAGGUAAGCUGAAAACAGACCCAGUACAUGAAGCUGCAUGUAAGAUUAGUAGGAGCUGGAGGGAUGGUGCAGUGGUUAAGAGUAUGAACUGCCCUUGCAGAGGACCUGGGUUCGAUUCCCACGUGGGAUAGCUCCCAUCACCAGCUCCAGGGAUGAGGAUCCAAUGCCUCUGGUCUCUGUGGGCACCUACACUCACAUGCUUAUACCCAUAGACGGACACAUAUAUGCAAUUAAAUAAUCAAAUAAUUUUUUAAACCAAUAUUAGUUGAUCCCUGGAAGGGUUUAGAGAUCAAGUCCAGGAAGGAACUCAGGGCAGUCGCUUGCAGCCCAAGCGGGCUCACUUGGCAGAGGGGAUGCUAUGCGGGCAGAGAGGAACCACUGAAGGUUAGAGGGAUGGUUUGGGGAAAGAAAAUGGGAUUUUAUCCCAGUGCCUUUCCUAACAAGCACCAUCGAUGAUCUUCUAUAGAAGUUAAGCAAUUCAGGGCAAAAGAUUCACACUUUAAAAUGUUCCUCAAAAACAGAGGAAAGCCAGAGCUGUUAAACUGACUGCAAGGCUGUCUUCUGUAAAAAUAUGUGCAGAUCUAAGGCGAGGCAGACAACCGAUGUGGAUCUCCAGCAUAUGAGAGGGAUGGGGGGGUGGGGAGGGGAGAGACAGACAGACAGACAGACAGAGACAGAGACAGAGACAGAGGUAGACAGACAUGUCACCACAACACUACAGUUAGCAUCUCAGAAAGCCAAGAGCAUACAUUCACCUGAUGAGAGAGUUUAGAGACCAUUGGCAGCCGUGAAGACCUCAGUGAGAGACUUAGGAAACCAAGUGAAGAAAUUACUCAGAAAGCAAAGGAAAAUAACAAAGAAAGCAUAAGAUUGUGGAGAUGAGAAAAUUAAAAAAAAAAAAGAUAUUCAGGAACAUCUAACACCUUAACAAGGAAAAUGCUUUAAAAGUCAACAGAAGAAAGAAAUAAAAAUAAAAAAAAAAGAGAGAGAGAAAUAGUCCCAGAGGAUUUCUCAGAACAGAUAUUUUUAUGUUAUCAAAUGGAAAGGACCCAUAUAAUGCCCAGCCCAAAUAGCUUAAAAAAAAAAAAAGAGCUUCAUUCAACAUCCGUCUCACCAACAUGUCUACCUAAAUAGGAGCUGAACAAGGACAACGCUAGACAAGCAUUUCCAAAGUGCACAGGGGAAGGACCAGGUGGCCUCAACCCUGCACAAAGAGCGGCAGGCAACUCUUCCCCGGGGAAGAGCAAGCACACUGAUUGGUUAUUCAACACGUGGGGAAAUCAAAGGUAGCAUUCCCCGGCAGGAAGAAGCAGGAAGUCGAUGCUUUAGGUCAUAUCGGACCUCACUGGACAGGGACCUAUGGUAUACAACGAGUCAGACGUGAAUUAAAACAACUAGUACUGGUUUAAAAAAAAAAAGGCCACAGAAAAACACAUAUGCGUGACACUAAAAGAGAUAAAGCCAAGAUUGUAAAAGCUUUCAGAGUAGAGAGCAGGCCACAUGUAAAGAAACAGAAGAUAAAAUGCUUAGAAAUUGGGGUGGAGAUUUCUGAAGUCUGAGAGAAGAUUAUUUACGGCUCAAAAUUCUACCUUGAACAUCAACUCAGUGCCCAGCCAGGAGGCUGGAGGCAUGGUGUAGUGGUUAAGAGUGCUUACUGCAGGCCGGGCGCGGUGGUGCACACCUAUAAUCCCAGCACUCGGGAGGCAGAGGCAGGCGGACUUCUCAGUUCGAGGCCAGCCUGGUCUACAGAGUGAGUUCCAGAACAGCCAGGGCCACACAGAGAAACCCUGUCUUGAAAAAACAAAACAAAAGAGUGCUUAUUGCUCUUCAGAGGACCCAAGUUUGAUUCCUAGCACCCACACCAGCAGCUCACAACUGCCCGUAACUCAGUUCCAAGGAACUUAGCACCCUCUGUUCUCUCAGAGCCACUGUACACACAUGGUGCACAUAAACUCACACAGGCAUGCACACAUACAUACAAACAAAAAUGUUAAAUGAUUUUCAAUUAUAAAGAAUGAGGACGUUUCCUGUUUUCAGACAUGAAUUGUCUGAACUCACAUCCUGGGCCUAGUUUCUCAGGAAGUUGGUGUAGGACACAGCAAGACAAAGAGGGAACAGAAGAAGACGGAGAAAUACAUAUCAACUCCAAACAGGCAGUUUCGCUGGAAUCAUAUUGAAGAUUCGUUGGGGGUAAGAGAGCCAUCAGGAGCCCGGGAGAAUGAGUCAGGUCAGAGCAAGUGGGAGGAAAGCACAGGAAAGGCUUCUCUAAGAUGAAAAUGAUAGAUUAAGGCUGAGUCUGAGCCAAUGGGGCUAGGAUUUCAACAACCCCGGAGAGCUUGUGGUUAAAUUAAUUAUACUUCAGCAGACAUUAAAGGAAGGAGAACACAGCAGUUAUUGACCUCAGAGAAAAUACAACGCCUUAUGUGAAAGGGCAAGUGAGUGGUGAGCCACGUGGCUCGGCUGUGAGGGCUGUUUUCAGAGUUCUGAGAAAAACAUGAAAAUCUUGCCCCAACCAGAAUGGGACGGGAGUGGUCCAGCUUCGCUGGGGUGAGAACAAGGGGAAAUGCAGAUGUGUAGGGCAGUGUCCUGACGGUGGUGCAGUGGUGAAACGCAAUUAAAUGUUUCUCUUCCAAGGUAGGAAGUCAGGAGAUAAUGUGCAAAAAUGGAAAUACUAUGAAGAAGCAGGAGAUAGAAUUUAGAAAUUGGGACACUGGGCUGGGAACAGUUCAAUGGCAAAGUAAACCCUUAGUGUGAUUGAGGCCUGAGAGGGAGGGAGACAAAACCAUCGAAGGGGGAAAGAAAGAUUUUUCAGACUGUCUCUGGCUGGAGAGCGAUGUUUAGUAGCAAGCUGUGUAGAUCAUUUGACUCUUUACUUGCGCCGUAGCUACAAUAAAAAUUUUAAACUAAGUUUUGGUUUGUUUGUUCUUUGACAUAAGGUCUCAAUCUGUAAGCCACUCUAGACUUCAAUU